rnacentral:lncRNA from 1 species
UCAGGACAGUAGUGAACGCCUGUGUUUAUUGUCGCCAGUCUUUUACACCAAACGAGGGAAAGGGGAAGCGGUUUAUACACGUUUGUUUCGUCGUUUUGUAGAUAGUAAAGAAGGGCACGUGUAGUUCAACAAAGAUAGGUAGCUUGCGCUCUU